GGACUUUGUGUAGUUGAGCACCUCAGACUGAAGCUCCAGGCUGACACUGAGAAGACACAAGAGAAGGAAAUCUGCAGCAGGUCUUCAUCUGGGACAUCUGCAUCAUCUGCAUCAUCUGCAUCGUUGUCGUCGUCAUGAAGUUGCUGGUUGUGUUUCUCCUUGUUGGAACCAUGAUGGUCCUGUCAGAGGGUUUUCCAGAACCAGAGCCUGGACCUGAGGCCAAACCAACUGAAGGAAGUGAACCUGAGACAGAAUCAGCAGAUGAAGACGAGAACAGUGUUGUCAAGAGAGCAGCAGGAUGCCCCUUUGAUUGGAUAGGAUUCAGAAAUGACACUGAGGUA